rnacentral:rRNA from 1 species
GGCUCAACCGUAAAAUUGCCAUUGAAACUGGCGAACUUGAGUACAGUAGAGGUAGGCGGAAUUCGUGGUGUAGCGGUGAAAUGCUUAGAUAUCACGAAGAACUCCGAUUGCGAAGGCAGCUUGCUGGACUGUAACUGACGCUGAGGCACGAAAGCGUGGGGAUCAAACAGGAUUAGAUACCCUGGUAGUCCACGCCGUAAACGAUGAAUGCUAGCUGUUAGCGAUAUACUGUUAGCGGCACAGAGAAAUCGUUAAGCAUUCCACCUGGGGAGUACGCCGGCAACGGUGAAACUCAAAGGAAUUGACGGGGGCCCGCACAAGCGGAGGAACAUGUGGUUUAAUUCGAUGAUACGCGAGGAACCUUACCUGGGCUUAAAUUGCAGUGGAAUAACGUGGAAACAUGUUAGCCUUCGGGCCGCUGUGAAGGUGCUGCAUGGUUGUCGUCAGCUCGUGCCGUGAGGUGUCGGCUUAAGUGCCAUAACGAGCGCAACCCUCAUCGAUAGUUACUAACAGGUUAAGCUGAGGACUCUAUCGAGACUGCCGACGUAAGUCGUGAGGAAGGUGGGGAUGACGUCAAAUCAGCACGGCCCUUACGUCCAGGGCUACACACGUGUUACAAUGGGGGGUACAAAGGGCAGCUACCUGGCGACAGGAUGCUAAUCUCAAAAACCUCUCUCAGUUCGGAUUGGAGUCUGCAACCCGACUCCAUGAAGCUGGAUUCGCUAGUAAUCGCGCAUCAGCCACGGCGCGGUGAAUACGUUCCCGGGCCUUGUACACACCGCCCGUCAAGCCAUGGGAGCCGGGGGGACCUGAAGUAUGCAACCGUAAGGAGCGUCCUAGGGUAAAACUGGUGACUGGGGCUAAGUCGUAACAAGGUACC